rnacentral:lncRNA from 1 species
AAAGAAAAAAGGGCAGAAUCAGCUUUACAAGACAUUGGUAAUCAAGAUGUCUUCAAGUCUCAGAUUGCAAACAAACACUAUGGAAGCAACAACUGUAAAGUUAUACAGAUAUGGGUAAAUCAGAUUGUGCACAAUUUCGCUGAAUUAUUUUCCUAUAAAUAACAAGGACAUUGUAAAUCAGUCAGCAACCCAGCAACAGGAUAGAAAAAAACAACUCAAGAGACAGCUCCCUAUCAAAGAUAUGGUUCUUAUAAUUAGUAGUUUACCAUCAAGAGGUAUCCUUAUGAUUUAAACCAAAGGACAGCACCUCGCUUAAUAUGAGUAGCACCCAUUUCCUGGUACAACAAAAAAUACCUAGAAACAAAUUGUCAGAACAAAUUACAAAUAAGAUACAAAAUCUUGGAGAGAAUCCAUGGAUAUUGAAGUUAGUUAAUGAAGUUGCAAUAAACCACAUAUUAAGACAAUUUUACCACAAGAUACAGAGAUAUUGAAGCAUAGAGAAAUCCAUGGGCUACGAUCAGUGACCAAGGUUUUUAUUAAUUCAAAAAGACAUUACCAGGGCUAAGUUGGAUACAAAAUGGGCCAAGCACACAAAUCCAUUGACAUAUUUACAUAACAGGUAUGAAAAUGGCGUCAAAUUCAUACAAGACCACAUCAUUGAUCAAAGUACAUUAGCAUAUUUCUUCCUGACAUGGCUAAUCAACCUAAUGAACCUAUGAAAUAGUACAUGGGGACAUAGAAACUAAUCCAAAGAAGUUCACCGAUACUAACUUAGAACAAAAACGGCUGUCCAGUUCACAAAAAAUCUCAAAGCACAGUAUAGGAAGGACAUUUUUGUUUAGCACUCCAUCCAGUUACACUGGAUACACCCAAUACUUCUGCAAAGCAGAGGUGUAUGGUCAACACCAAGUAUUCUGAUGAGCAAGAUGCAUUUAUGAUUGGACUUAAGCAGAUCCUCUAUAUCCCUAGAAUUGUUCAUUAUUUGACUUCCAUAGGUUAUUUCAUCCCCAUUCUCAAAAGUUCACAGCAAUAGGAUCAGAAUUCAAUACUGGGAUCAUCACUCACAUAGGUAAAGAAAAUUCCUAACCAAAUGAUUGAAUUCGGAUUGCAGAAACCCUAAAUUAAACUAUUAGCCAUCUCACUAUCUAAUGAAGCUGUUGAAACUUACGCCACACUGCACAUAAACCUCGUUAUCAGCUCUCCCUUGCUCCUAAUCCUUGCCAAGGAUUUUGAAUCCUUUUAACUUCCCUUCUACCUCACUAAUAAUGCUACAUAUUUCCUAGCAUGCAGAAUUGGAAUUGUGCAAUGUGCAUUAUACAAUACCAUGUAGAAUUGUGUCUAAACCAAAACUAAAAAGGAAUGCAAUUUGUUAUCCCACUCUUUCCAAUGGGAACCUUCAUAAACAAAAUUAAACUAAACAUAGAUGACUAAACUGAACAAACAUUCGAAUUCCUGGGAAGUAAAGUCACAAUAUUAAGGUUUUAGGCUACAAAUGGAAUUUACCCAACACAAACUAAAUAGGUUUCAAUCAAUCUAUAUUCGGAUAUUUAUGUAAAGAAAAGAAAACCACACUAAAAAUAACUUUAAAAAAUAAAACUCAGAAACUUACCAGAAACACUAUGUUUAUCAAUCUUCUCAUCCAAAUAACCAUUGCAAGCAAUCCUUUCCGUUGGCCCAUCAAAACCAUAAUCCCCAAUAAUCCCAUUCGGCAAACUCGAAUUCUUAAUUUUCUUUACCUUUCCUUUAACCAAACUUCUCAAAUUCAAAACUCUAACCCCAUUGUCCUCUCCCAAAAUCAUGAAUCCAAAAGACAAACUCAAUGACCAAACCGGUUUACAACACUCAAUCACAGCACACCUCAUCAAAUUUACUCUCACCCCAUCAUCGCCAUCACCAUCCAUCAACAUCACACCAAAAACCCAAAUUUUAGAGCUUGAUAACGAGUGCAUUGCAAAGAAAUUAACCGACCCAACAAGCUUCAAUCCAACCCCAUGAGUAAUAUCCAACAAAACCCCCAACUUCUCGUCAAAAGAAACACCCUUUUGCUUACAAAAGACCUGAGCUUUCCCAUAAAAAUUGUUUCUUUUCAAAACAUACAAUCUUAAAACAAGCUUAGGCUCACUUCUAUGAGGACCCACAGCAAUAAAAGCCACCCUAGGGCUAGGGUUAGGGUUAGGGGUAUGAUUUAAGAGCAAAAAGGUAAAUGAAUAUGAAGGUGAAGGGAUUAAAACUUGAGGGGUUGAAGGGAGAGAUGAAAGGGUAAAAAGGGAAAUUGAAGAAUAAAGAGAGAUAGAAGAAUCAGAACGCAUAAGGGCUAAAGAAAGAGAAUUUGGUUCGUAUAAGGCCGAGGUUAUUUGGGGUGGUGAUGAAGGAAGAGAAGGAUUAGGGAGACUGAGUUUUGAGGCUCGCGAAAUAACAACCAUUAGAAACAGAAAGUCAGAAACAGAAGCAGCAGUUGAGUUUUGUUUUUGUUUUUGCUGUUGUAAGAAUUUGAACAAUCAUUCAGUUAGGAUUUUGAGAGAAGAAUGGAGAAAGAUUUUGAGCUUUGAUAGUGUUUGGUCUUUUCGUUUUCGUUUUUGUUUUUGUUUUUGUUUUUGUUUUUAUUUUUAUUUUUAUUUUUUGGGGUUAGUAGCGGUUGGAUUAUAUUAAAUUUAAUGAUGUGAUCCAAGAAUUAAUAUUUAUUAUUGCAAAGUUGUUUUCAAGUCUAAUCUUGAAAGUCAAUCAUCAUCAAUUCAGGAUUUUGGCAAUAUUUCGGUUUUUUUUUUUUUUACUUUUUUGAAGAAAAGAGUUCUAUUAUUGUGUUUUUACAAGUUGCAUAAAAAUACUCCUUGAAAAAAAAAUAAAAAUUAAGGGUUGGAGUUGGAUCACGAUAUCUUAUUUGAAUUAUAGAAGAAAAAUAUUAUCUAUCUUUUCUUUUGUAAUAAGUUUAGACAUCAACUACUAGUUUCUAGGAUUAUAUAUUUUAAAAUUGUUUUUGAAGAUUUAUGUUUAUCUAAAAAAAAAUUCAUGAUUAAAAUGCGCAGCAAAAAAUAAUUCAAAGCACUUAUAAUGCGUUCGUGUUUUAAAACUUCUGUUCUGUUACAAAUAAAUUUGACGAUUCGGAAAUAACCGAAGACUUAAAAUAAAUGGAAAAGCACUUGUCAAAACAAAAACAAAGUGGCCAUUUUAGAAUUACAAAAGCUCAUCAUAAUCGAAAUCGAGGCUCGUCUGUGUUGCCACUGUGGGGAUCACACACAAAUCAUGCCCCUAUGCGGGACAAUACUUCAGCUUUCCUACAAUUUCGAACACAAUGGGAGUUAAAUCCCAAACAAUAUUUCAACAAUUUUAUUUAUGAAAAAAGUCGUUCUCAAUUAAAGUAGAAAAAGAUUUGUCAAAUCUUAAUGCUGUAUUUAUUAGUGAGAUCGGGCAAUUAGAAAUCGAAAGGGAAUUAAUUGAUAAUAUUUACUCGUUAAAAUAAAAAUUAGAAUGAGAAGGAAAAAUGUAACAUCCACAUAUGUUUUGGAUAAUGGAAUGAAAAAUAUAUUCUCAUAAGUCGAAAAUAAAAUUUAUUCCUUAAACUUCCUAUUUUAUCAUACUCAAAUUUCAUAAUUUCAUUUUUGUCCUCAAUAAGAAUAUUAUUACAUUGUUGUUAUUGUUAUUAUCCUUAUUCUUGCAAGUGUUGUUGUUGUUAAUAAUAAUAGUAGUAGUAAUUUUAAAAAUUUUAAGAAUAAUCAUUAUUAAUAUUAUUAUGCACUCGCGAAUACUAUUUAUGCAUGUUGGUUGUAUGAAUGUUACGUACGAUAUGUCAUCUUUUCUCUAAUCCCAUGAAUUACAUGUUUUAAUUAAAUGGUAGAUGCCAGGACAUCCAGAACCUAUGUAACGGCUAAAAUAUUUUUAUUUAUUAUUUUUUAUUAUUAUUAUUAUUACCACCACCACCACUAUUGUAAUAGAUGAUGAUGAUGAUGAUGAUGAUGAUAAUAAUAAUAAUAAACUAAAGAUCUUUUGGCAACUUGUAACAGUUUAUACCAUUAGACAAAACGAAGACACCAAUGAAAAUAUAGCCUAUUGUAAUUUUGAUUCUUACAACUAAAGUAAAUAAUUUAUUAUGAUUUCAAUUUCAAUUCAUUCCGAUUACUUAUUGAUAAAUGCAUUAUUAAAGUAUUGGAAGUAAUGUCUUUGAAAAAUAAACGACUUAUCAUCUCCGAACUAAAGUUUUACAAUGAUAAUAUUUCAAAAAAAAGUUCAUCGCCAUAUACUAAUUAACAGUGGCCAACUGGUCAGUUCAGCUAAAUGCUGAAUUUGAAAAAUCUGGUAAAAUUAUAACCCAAAAAAAGAAUCAAAAUGGAACCAAAAUUUUCGAUUAGAUUCUUCAAAUAUUUAUACUUUUUUAAAUUUUCUUACAAAAUUUGACUUUCUUAUUUUUUUUUCUUAUGUCCUCUUAAAUCAUGCCGCGUGGCACUAUUUUAACAUAAAAAAUGUUAUUUAUUUUUUUUGGUUCAAUGUCGGUUUUAAGGAAAAAUUAUUGAACCUAAACCUAAAAAAAAGAAAUCAAACCGGACUAAUUUUUUUUCAAAAAUAGUUCGAUUCUACCUCGCACGAAUGCUAAGCGUACCUUUUUUUUUUUUAAAUAAUACUUGCUUAUCAAAAUGAUCUCAUACUUCUUCUUUUUUUCAUUUCGCGUCCAAAAAUAUCCCUAGUUAAUUGAUAAGUUAUUGUUGUUGUUGUUGUUGUUAUUAUUAGCAAUAAUUAUUUUAAAUAAUAAUAAUGAUUAUCAUAAUUAUUAUAAUAAAUAAUGACAAUAAUCAACUAAUGUCAUUUUAAUAAUUUGUAAUAAACUAUUCUAAUUCUAAGACAAAACAAACACAUCAAUGAUAAUAUCUCUCAUUUUGAUUUCGACUUUUAUAGUUAAAGUAAAAAAAUUAUUAUAAUUCUUAUUCUCGUUUCGAUUCUACUCGGCUCUGAUUCUAGCCAUUUGGUAAAUGCACUAUAAAUAUGUGUGAUAUGGUGCAAACAAAGUUCAAUCGUCAACAUUUACUAAUCUGAUAACAAAAAAAAUCACUUCUAUGAGCAAACUAAGAAGAAUGACAACCAACGAUUAUAAAAUAAUGAAAAAAAAACAACAUUGUUUAUGGUGUUAAUACGAUAAACAAGACACAUAAACAUGGGGUCCAAGUGGGUUACACCUUUUUAUGCGCAUCGCAUAAACCAACAAAAUGAUUACUUUAUGAGAAAUUUGAUUGGAAAAAAACGUUAACUUUUUUUUUUUAGAGAGAGAAGAAAAAUAUUUCUGAGUUUAAAAACGAAAUAAACAUUUCAUUUUACUCUUAUCAUCAACCGACUGAAUAUUCAGUUACUUGAUUACGUAAAUUACAAUCUAACGUCAAAUUUAUAAAAUGACAAAAGAGCAUGGUAUCAUACCAUUGUGACAAUAUAGCAGCAGGACCCCAUAAUCAAAGUCAUGUGUAUUAUUAGCAUUCAAAGAAGAAUCAAAAUUUAUAAUUCAAAACUUGAGAUCAAAUUUAUUUAGUUUCCCCCGUGUGAUAAUUCCAAAAUUGUUAUAAGACCGUGACUAAGACUAACAAUGUGACGGCAAAUUCAAUGAAGUUUGGAUUUUUUCUUACCUUUUUUUUUUUUCUGGGCAAUAAGGCCAUUUAAUUCUGUUCCCCACUUUCUUUUGAACCGAACGGGGUCCAAUCAGCUAAAUAAACAUGUCCAACUAGUUUGAUCAUUUUUCAAAAACUCGACCCUUAUUUCCCUUGUUGAUAAAUAUUUGCAACAAUUCAGAAAAAUGUGUAAAUAACCCUUAUUAAAAUUUGUAGUCAUGAGUGGUAAAACAAUAUUUUCUCAACUCAAGUAAUAAUAUUAACAACAACAACAACAACAAUUUAAUUCAAGUGUCAAUAAUUAAGUUUGGCGAUUGAGACAUCUCGAUUGGGACUGACCAAUCUCGAUCCCUAUCCUGUAUCAUGAAUUGGGAUGAAAAUUUGUUUUAAAUCACAUCCUAAACAAUAAAUUGGGACAAAAAUGGACCUGUUUAAUAAAAAUCUUGAAUCUUAAUCUUAAUCUGCAGUGCAAAUUAUGUCAUAAAUGAUAUGUCAGAUACAUAUAACCAAUUAAUAAGAUAUAUUUAUUUCAGUAAACGGACUUGUCAUACAUAUAGAAAUCAAUAUGUUGGAUCUUUGUGCUUCAUCAAACCAACUUGUCAAGAUCCCAUUUGGUAUUUUCCAACUCCCAAGUAGUAAAUUUGGACAUAAUUGGAUUUCAAAUCUUAAUCCAAAUAGUAAAAUUUGCCAACCCUAUCAAUAGCUUCCACUGCAAGUAAAAAAAAAAAAUUUGAAAAUUUGAAAUGAAAGCUGGAAAUCGGAGAGCCAAACUUAUGUUAAUCAAAUAAUGGGCACGUGACGUGUAAUAAAUAUUUUUUAUAUAGAAAUCCAAAUAACAUUGGCAUUCGUGUGUGCCAUGUAGAUAUGGCAAAAAAGCCUGCAGCGAAUGAGCCUAGUCACGUGCUGAAAAUUUAAAAGCUCACAGUAGAUGGGCCUGAAUAUGGACUCAUGGAAAAAGCAUGGGCCUUUAUAUUUUAUAAAUAAUCUUUUAUUUGAUUAUUAGUCUAUUAUAUAUUGUAUAAUCAAUUAAUCAUUUUUAGUUUAAGUGUUCCUUUAUUUUUUUUCCUAUUUUUAACUCUAUUAAAAAUUCAUUUGAAAAAAUUAUCCAAGCCCAAGCAUGCCCCGUCUAAGUAUGGACGAUCUUUUGGAGGGUUUGGGUCUGUUGUCAAUAACUUGGGCAUAGGCUUCAAAAAACUUUACCCAAACCCUUAAAUUGCCAUUGCUAGUGCCAUGCUCUUCAGUCUUGACUAGGAUAGGGAUUUGGUUUGGUUCGGUAAGUCAAAAUUGAAUGAUUCAAAAAAUGUAAAUCGAUCGAUUUUCGAUUUUGAAUCAAAUAGAAUAAAAACAUAUCGGUUUAGCAUUAAAAUAAAAUAAAAAUUGUUCAAUUUAUACAUAAACAAUAACAUUUUUAUUAGUAUUUUUGCAUAAAACAUAAAUGAUUGGUGAUUAUAAUUGAAUUUGGCUAAAAAUAAAUAAAUUUAGGUGAAAAAUAUAAAAAAAUUGACUAAUAUAAAAGUAAAAAAAAUUUCAUGAACCAAAUCAUAUAAAACCGAAUCGAACUUAAAAACCGAACUGAAAUAAUUCAAUUCGAUUUAUAUUUUGUUCAUUACCUUUUGAACUGGUUAGUCUCGGUCUGAUUUGGUUUUUGCACAAAACCAAAACGAACCGAUUUAUGCCACUCCAUCUACUUUAACCGAGAUACAUCUUUAAUUUAAUUUUGUUUUAAGCCCAUAUGUGAUCAAUGCAGGUGCAAUAUUUCUCAGAAAAAAUUUUAAGUAAACUGUCACAUUUCCUUUGUUUGUCCUGUAAAUUUAUAGUGAUCAAUUCAAAUCGUACAAACUUUUAGACUGUGACAUAUUAAGUUUUUUUAAUUCGUAAACUAUAAGUAUAACAAGAAUAAAAGUUGAAUGCUAGCUCUAAGCAAAUUGCUCCAUUUCAAUCAACUACUAGACUACAAGGUUUGAUUAUUCUAUAAAUUUGUUGCAUAAUAUUUGAAAAAUAAAAGUUAAAAAGGGUUGUUUGUCUAUUUGGUGAUCAAUGUUAGGGUUAGGGGUAGCACUGCAGUAAAUUUUUGAGUUGGGUCAUUGGGGUUCUUAGUUCCUUCUACUUUAACCAAACUAUCUCCAGAUUUAGCAUCAAAUAACACAUGCUUGCUCUCUCUCUCUCUCUCCCUGCCAGUGCACUAUUUAGCAUCAAAUAACACAUGCUUGCUUCUCUCUCUCUCUCUCCCUGCCAGUGCACUACAACAGAGGCACAGACUGUCAUAUUCUGUUGUCGUUGAAGGUGGAUCUGCGCAAUUCACCAAAUGGCAAAAGCACUCAAAAUACAGCCAUGCAUAUCACUAUUGCGAGUUUGAGACCACAAUUAAACAAAAGUUGCCCUCAAAAGCUACCCCAAGAAAGCAAAACGUCGGUAACAAAACCCAAGAAAAAAAAAACAACCUCCCACCUUGUUAUUUGGCCAUCACCAUCUUCAUCAUCAUAUCACUAGAGCCAAUAUGCUUGCACACAUUAUUCACUUGACUAAAAAACAACCCAAUUAAAGAUGUCCUCAUAUCCCUAACUAAUUAGUGAAAUUGUCAAUGGCUGCACCAGGCUCACAAGCCUUAGCAGCAGGGGAGGGCUCAACACCAGGGUGCGGAUCCACCGGCUUCCCCAGAAGCACUUCUGGCAAGUCCUUAAUGCCCUUCAAAUAAAAUGUGUAAAACAGCUUAAAUGGAAACACAAGUUGCUGCAGCUUAACCUGCCCAUACACUCCCUCGAAGAUGCCGGAUCCACCAGUCACAGCCAGAUAAGUGUCCUCAUAGGUCAAAUACGGUCCUUGCACAGCUAUGUGACCAUAGUCUCCAAAGUAGAAGCUGUAAAUUGCUUCAUAUCGGUCACCUUUCUUUUCUGGUUUGUUUUCGAUCAAAAUGCAUAAACCCGCUGUUAUUCCCAACCUCUUUUGCAGGUCUCCAGUAUAUAACUGUAAUUUAAAUUAAAAUAAAUAAUGCAGGCCGUGACAAUUUCAAAUUAAGAAUAAAUAAUACAUGUACUUGUGAUGAUUAUAAAUUAUCAAAGUUCUCAAGUACAGACAUCUGCAUUUUGAAGUAAAGAGUUAAGUUAGAUCGUGCAAUCUAGUUAAAUCCACAUUUUAGCAUGUUACCACAUUUGAAAAACAAAAAUCUUAAUUCCCAAGUAAAACUAUUUCAAAAGGAGAAACAUUUUCCCUGAACAAGGGUUAUUGUUGGUAAUAUUUUCCGGGAAAAAAAUAAAAUUUCUUACAAAUGCAACAUAGAGAAAUUUACCCAAUAAGCAAAAAGGGUUUAGGAUCAUAAUUAGAUCAAGAAGUAUCGGCAUAUAUGAUAUAUUUAUAUAAUUGUGGUAUGAUGCGAAAAAACAGAGGAUAUAUAUGAACUUGAAAAUAAAUUUAAGUAAAACCGGGGGUUAGAAAGACUCACUUUGUUGCUAAAAGGGACAAGAUCACCAAGUGAAUUCACAGGUUUCUGGCUCAAGCGAAGAUAAGCUGGACUGCCACGAUCUCGCUCGUUGAUCUCAUACACAUGAAGUUCUUGAACUUUGGCUACACAAACAACAAGAAGCUGUAAAUAAAUAAUAAAAAGUAAAAGUGACUCUGGGAAGUAAAAGAAAAGUGAAAAUACUAACUGGGUCUGGGAUCAUCUGAUGAGUUAGCUUGGCUUCUGCAAGUGAAAGAUCUUUUGGGUACUGUGAAGUUGCAGCUUGUGGCGGCUUGAAGGUGGGGGCAUUGAGUGAUUAGAAAAGGAUUAUUCAGCUUAAAUGGUACUAAAAUUGAUGAUGAUUUGGUUGGUGAUGUUGAAUUGGCUAGCUUGACAGAAGCAGAAGAGAUGGUUCUCAAAGCGGCGCUUGAACAAGCCAUUGGGGAUAAUCUUUUGUUGAUAAUUUCUGUUGUUAAAUCAGUGUUUGACUGUUUGGGAGGAAAGAAAGUGAGGGAAUUUUCUGAUGGGAAAAUGUGGAUCGGUGCAGUGUGGGUGUUUUCAUUUUUUUCCCCGUGUUUAUAGUGGAAAAAAAAAAAGUUUUCUUUGGUGAUUUUAGGUGUACGGAGAGACGGUGCAACCGGUGGUCUGCGUUUAUCAAUUUGAAUGACACGUCUCACGAGGUAGUAGGUAUUAGUCAAUGAGUCUUGAUAAUCCCAUGUGGGAAAAGUCAGAUCACGUGCGAUUGCAUUUCCUGUUCUUUUUUUCAACACCUGAUUUUCAUUGGACGGUGGUAACUUUUAUUUAUUUUUAACAAUCUUUUUUCAAUGAAUUUUCUAUAUAUCUUAUCUUUGUCAAUGGUCGGUCGAUGUUAAUUUUAUACAGCUAGACUUAUCAAAUCGGAUUCAUAUUUUUGGAUCGUAUUUGUAGUUCUUAGCUUAAUUUUUUGAUUAUUUUAUUUUAUAUUAGUUAUGAUGUAGUGCUCUUUUGUGAGAUAAUUUAAUUAAUUCACUUAAAAUUUAUGAAAAAACUUCAACUACCUAAUAAAUGACAGGUCACAUAUCAUAUUAUUUAAUUAAAAUUUUAAGAAUUUACUCAUUGGUUAAGCCUCAAGUUUGAGUCAUAUGGAUGCACAACUAUGAUUGUUUAAACACAUCUUAUUUUUAUUUAAUCAGAUUUAAUUUGAUGGCAGUUAUAAUCAUGCAAUAGCUUAUUAUGUUGUUUAGGUCAUUUUUUUCAACUAUUUUCUUGUUAAUAAAUGUCUUGAAAAGCUACAAGAUAAUAUUUCUCUUGCUUGUCGUGUGAAUAUGGAAGAGAUGGCCGAGAGCUAGGCAGCUAGCUAAUAGAAAUUUUUAUGCCUCAUACAAACUAAAUACAAGUCCAAAAGCAUUUCCCAUCCACUCAGAAUAGAUAAAAAUUAAAGGCAUACGUAUGCUUUCUUAAUCAUCACACGCACUAAUUAAAUAUUAAUUGAAAAUCCUAGUUAAUCAGUAAAAUUAGCAACGGUGGCACCAGGCUUACAAGCCUUAGCCAUAGGGCUUGGGUGAACAAAAGGGCUGGGCCUCACGGGCUUCCCCAUAAGCUCUCCCGGCAGAUCCUUAAUGCCCUUCAAAUAAAAAGUAUAGAACAGCUUAAAUGGAAACACAAGUUGCUUCAGCUUAACCUGCCCACUCACUCCUUCAAAGAUCCCUGACCCUCCAGUCACAGCGAGACACGUGUCCUUGUAUGUCAAAUAAGACCCCUGCACCGAUAUGUGACCGUAGUCUCCGAAGUAGAAGCUGUAUACGGCUUCGUAUCUGUCACCUUUCAUUGGCUUGUGCUGGAUCAAAAUGCAAAUUCCUGCUGUAAUUCCCACUCGCUUUUGCAAGUCUCCGCUAUAUAACUGCAAUACGUUAAAAAGAUUAUAUAUUAACAAUUCUAUGUAUACUAGUAACAAUAGAAUAAGCGAUAUUGGUGAUCAUGUUGCGGUAUAUCAUAUUGUCACCCAAUUUUUUUUUUUUUCAUACUUGACGACUUCAACAAGAUUCACAUACGAUAAAUUACUAAUUUUAUAUCACAUCAGGUUAUAAUUUGUAUGAAGUAAUCUGAAUAUAGAACUUUUGUGCGGUAUUAAUAUAAUUGAAACACGAAGGAUGAUUAACUUGCAAAACAAAUGGGUACUAUGAAAAAUUAAUUUACUUUGUUGCUAAAAGGGACAAGAUCACCGAGUGAAUUGAUGAAAAAUUUCUUGCUCAACCGGAGAUAGGCUGGGCUGCCACGAUCUAGCUCGUUGAUCUCAUAAACAUACAAUUCUUGAACUUUGGCUACAAUUAAUCAAAGAUAAAACGGUAAAGAGAAUGAUUAACAAGAUACGUCAAAUUAAAAACAGAGGAAUGUUAAGAAAAAAAAAAAAAAAGAAGAUACUAACAAGGUUCAUUUGUAGAUGGGAUCGGGUUAUUGGAUUGGCUCGUGCAAGUGAAAGAUCUUUUGGGUACUGAGGAGAUGCAGUGUGUGGUGGCGUGGAGAUUGAAACUUUGAUGAGUCAGAGACCUUGGGUAUGUGAGCUUGAAUUGCAUAAAUGAUGACUGGGCCGGACAAGAAUUAUCGACUUGUUUGACAAAAGAAGAAGAAGAAGAGAUAACGAUUCUUGAAGCAGAGCUUGAACAAGCCAUACUCGAGAUUUUUCCUUCUUCUAAUUCAGUUUUAGUGGGCGCUGGGGAAGGUAGAAAGUGAUGCAAACGCAACUACGUACUGAUGAGAAAUACAUGUAUAGAGAAUUUUUCUUCCUUUGGUUGCACAGAAGGACGGUGCUACUGCGGUCACCGUGGACAUAGAUUAAUAGUCGACGAGUCUUCAUGUUCCCGUGGAAAUUGCCUUAAUUUAUAUAUCGGGCUACAAUGCAAUUGUGGUACCGUGUCACAAUUACACCAGUUGUUAGAUCCACUUAAAUGAGUGGGGUCCACUUAAAUAGGUAGAAACCCAACGGUUGGGUGCAACUCAAUUUUAUCCUAAUUUAUAAUGUCUUAGGAACUUUCUUUUCGUAAUACACGUGUAGUGCGUUGUUUGUUUGGACUCUACACACGUUGGUGUUCCUCUAUUUUUUUUUCUUUUUAUAAUAAAUUACCAACUUUUACCUUUCUUUUAAGCAAAGGGACUUGAAGUUACUUAUCCAGAGAUGAGUUUAUAUUAGUGGAUUUAUUUAUGUAAAAUCCUAUCUUUGUAUGCAGUCAAUAUGCAAUUUCAGGUCACUAUUUUUGUCAAAAUAAUUUAGAGUUUUUUUUUUGAAAAAAAUCCAUCCCAUUUAUUUUUAUCGCAACUUAAAAAUUACAACAUCUCACCACCAAAUAUAUUCUAAAUCCUAUUCACCUCUAUUUCUUCUUCUUUUUCUCUGUUUGGGCACAGACAAAUUAAUUUGCUUAUUUAAAAUAUAAUAUACUGAUUGAAAUUGUUGUAGCUUGAAGAAGGGUGCACUGAAAAUCUUUUCCACUGUGCCCUGCAUUUGUAUGUACUAUAGCUAGAACAAUUUAGGUGGUCCUACGUUAUUUGUUUCUUACUUUUUGAACUACAAGGUUGGGUUCUCCAUUAGCAAUUGGAAUAACUAUCUCUCUCACCAAGUACAUUUUUUGAUGUAAUGUAAAUUACAAAUUAUAAUUUAAUAUUUCCAGAGAAAAGAAAAGAGUGUCAAUAAUGGAGCUCUAGCAAUAUCGAGAGUGGGGGCCUCCUGCUCUAUCAGCAAAUUAAUGUGAAAAACAUUUGCUUGCACAGAAGUAGAAGGGGGGACCAUGCAAUUUGCUAAAAGAUAGUUCACAUUCAAUGGUGAAAACAAUGUCAAUAAAUUGCAUUUGCUUUAUCAUCUUCUUUCCUCAGGACACCAUAUUUCUUGAUAAUAAAGGAGUCCGUAGUUCGUAAAACUGAUGAGAGGUGGAGACUUUGAGACUAGAGACUCUCUCUUCUGUGUUUUCAGUUUUGGGGUCCCAUUCCCUUCAAUAAUUUGAACCUCAUAUCAUGCAUGCAUGCAGUCAAAAAUAAAAAUAAAAAAUAAAAAAUUCAAAGCAAUGUAUAGUAUAAUAUUAUUGGCAAAAUUUGUCGAGUGACUUGUUUUUUGGACACGCAAGGCUCAAAUUAAAAUGGAGAGGAUCUUUUGUUUUUAUGCCUGCCUUAAUAUACCAGCUGUGAUGUACUUACUAUAUAUGGGGGGGCGUCUCUAUUCUGGUUUGAUGGGUUCAUAUUGAGAAAUCAUUUGCAGAAACUCACUAUAGCUUGGGUGAUGCUAUGAUGACAAAAUUAUUGGGGUAAAACAGCCCCCCACCAAGAGAGGAAUGUUAAACUUUGAAGUCAAGGAAUUAGUCGAUGCAGUAAAUUUUAGUUAUAUGCCAAGACAUGAUUGGAUUGCGUCAUAUAUGAGCCAUGAAGAGAAUAAGGAAAUCAAAGCAAAUAUUCAAAUUUAUUUUCUAAUUUAUAUGUGAUCCUAUCUUUAUUUAUAUUAAAGUUCAAUAUCAUGAAAAGAUCAAGAGUCCAAAUUAAAACAAAAAAAAAAAAAAAAAACUUAUAAAUGUAUGCUUGAAGUCGUAUAGAAGAAGACAUCCACUUACACGACAAAUAUAUUGAUAUUCACAGUAAGAAUAACCUUAUCAUCACUUUAAUUCAAAAGACUUAAAAAAAAAUAAAAGUUGAAAAAUACCUCAAGGGGUGUAGAGAGAAGAACAAUAUAAUGUGUGCUGUUGUUGGUAGCUUGAUAGAGUGGGCUUCAGGCCUAGUGGUGGGCAGUAGCAGCCACGCAGCGCAUGGAGCGACGCACACUCCGACCAAACACGAACAAACCUCCCCCUACUUUCCCACAGAUCCGAGAAACGCGUUGAUUAGUCGUGUGUUGUGUCCCUAAAACAUCAUCUUUCCACCCUCACACGCCCACCAUAGCGCGUGCACCCACUCUCUUAGAGCCGCUAAAAAUGGGAAAUAAAAUUUUUUGGAAUGAUGCUGCCUAAUUUUAAUAGCGCUUUGUCAGAUCUCUCUCUCUCUCUCUUUCUUUUUAACCAUGGCUGCUCUGCCUCUGCUGCUCUAAAGCGAAAAAAAGCCUAGGAUCCUAGGGCAACCAAAAUUUUGCCUAAUCAUUAUAGGGUUGCUAUUGAGAAACUCACCGUUAGUAGCAUAGCAAAUCAAAUUACUUGAUUUGGGCUUCUCAAAAAAAAAAAAAAAUUACUGGAUUUGGGAGAUUGGCAUCUUUCUAUUUUAAAAAAAAAAAGAUUAGCCCACAUGGCCGCAUGUACAUGCAUUGCUAGCUAGCUAUUCUGCUUCCCGCUUCUGUUGAUGGGGAAAUUAAAUAGUGUCAAGUCAUUUCCACCCCCACAAUUUUCUGACUCAUUCGGCCCCCACAGACAGAAACGAACACGGACAAUCAAUCACCCUCCAUUUCCCUCUCCUCUUUCUUUCUCCACUCUCUCUGCUGCUCUUCUGCUUUCUCUGCCAAAAUUCAGUGGCUCUUCUCUUCUCCUCUCUAUCACAGACAAAAGUUUUUCUUUUUUUCUUUUUUCUUUUCAAUUGUAAAGGAAAGACAAAAAUUAUUAAAAGUAAGGAAACCCCAUAUACUCCACUCUCAUUCAAUGCCAGCCAAUAGUGCCAAAAUCUGUUUUACUCCAAUGUGACUCAUAUUUCCUCACCAUGGUAAAAAUGGCAACAGUCCACAGUACACCAUGCAACACCAUUAAUGCUGACCAUGUCUAGGAGCACUUGCUUGCUCCAAACUAAGCUAGCAAGGUUAUCAAAAAUAUAUGUUGGUCAUUUCAUGCGUGCUUAUCUUAUUCUUAGUGAGAUAACUUCUAAUUGUUCAAAGAUCUUUGGGAUCUCUCAUCUUAACAAUAUUGUUAGGUUUGUCCAUUUAGCGAAUGAUGUAGUUUAAUUAUGUCUUGACCGAGUUAGAAUACUUGAUAGGACAUCCCUAGUUAACAUUUUGCAAUUUAUCCAAACUUAAUUUAUAGAUAAUUAUGAACUUCGUUUAAAAUUAAAGAUUUCGUUAAAGUUUCUCAAUGUGUAAAAUUUAUACUGUCCAGCCAUCCAACAGGUGCAUUAUGUCACAGAGCUAAUUUAGCUAAGCAAAAGGGCAUAAGCAUCACAGGAUUUAGGGGUGUAUUAGAAUCUAACAUUCUGGAAGUCCUUUCUAUAGCUUUGGAUCUGUGAUAUUACUCAAUAAGCAAGAGAUUCUAGAUGAACCAAUACCUACAAAUGAUAUAUAAACGUCAUAUGAAUUUUCUUUUCAACAAAGAUGGGGCCAAAAGUUUAGUUCAUAAGCAGUAACUUAACAAUAAAUCCAAUAUAAAUGAUCCCAAUUUCAAUUCAUGGGACAUUUCAAUUAAGUUCCCAGGGUGAGAAGCUUAAAAUUUUCACCUACUAUUGGGCAUUUGAAUUAAGUUCGCGAGGACAAGAUCUUAAAUAAUUGAUGCACUUUCGAUGAUUUUUUUCAUCAAGUAGGGACAACAGCCCUCACUUGCCCAAAUGUUAGCUCCAUCCUUGAUUUUCAGCCACUUCUUCAAAUUGCAUUUUCAAAACGAGAAAAAUGACUAAAACACAAGACUAUAAAUAGCAUCCUUUGUCACGCUCUUCAUCGAAAAAUCUCAAAAAAAUUUUCUUAAGUCCUUUAAAAUUGACUCUCACUCAAUUGCCGCUCGACCUUUACCUGAGUGACAAGCAGCAGCACUCAUAUGUGUAAGAGUUGCAAUUCGAGUCCCCUUAAAAAAACUCAGAUGACUCAUGUGUCUUCAUUUUUUUUUGUUUAAUAAGGGCUCUGUAAAAAGAGCUAAAUCGGAACAAUACGGGGUUUAGCAACCCCAAUCAUGUCCUGCUAAAAAGAGCUAAAUCGGAAACUCAGAUGACUCAUGUGUCUUCAUUUUUUUUUGUUUAAUAAGGGCUCUGUAAAAAGAGCUAAAUCGGAACAAUACGGGGUUUAGCAACCCCAAUCAUGUCCUGCAAAAUAACUGAAACUCAUGUGUCUUCAUUAAAAUAAAAUUUGUGUGGAGAUAAGCAUCUCUAAUAUUGAUUUAUAAGUGUAUCAAAUAUCUCUCUAAUAUUUGUGAAACUAGAUGUAUAAAUUAUGUUGUUAUAAAAUAAUUAUAAUCAGAUAUCUCUCCAAUUUUUGUGAGAGUAAAUGUAUAAGUUAUGCUAUCAAAAAAUAAGUUUUACUUGAUUUCAAUAAAUAUCUCAACUUAAAUAUCAAUAGAGUUAUAAUUAUACAAUAAAUAUUCAAUAGUAAUAAUAGUAAUAAUAAUAAAGACUCUCACUCAACUUAUGAUAAACCUUAAGAUACGAGCCAUAAACACUAGGGUCCCUCUAUCUUACAUGCACGUAAGACAGUGAUUGCCUAAACAUUAUACUAAAAUGAGAGAUUGUUAACAUUGUAUAAAAAUAACCAUAAUAACACCUUUGUCAAACGCGUGCAUCUCACGCAUCACAUCUUGCGUUGACUACCCACAACCCCUCAUCCCAUCUAAAUGGCGUCGAUGGGAUCUCCCUUCUACCCCCUCUCGUAAAACUCUUCCAUUCAUAAUUUCCCUUCAUAUAUAGAAAGCUCACUCCUCUCUUUUGUUACCUUCUCUUAUUCAUGCAUCACACAAAAGCAACUUUCAGCAAAAUCUUCAUCUAUCAGCAAAUGGAUGAUCAUUAGAGAGAUAUACCCUCAUGAGCAAAUCAUAAUGAUGAUCAAAUGAAGGAGAGGCAACGUUGGCAACCAGAAGAAGACGCAAUCUUGAAAGCAUACGUGAAGCAAUAUGGCCCCAAAGAAUGGAACCUCAUCUCACAACGCAUGGGCAAAACCCUCAACCGUGACCCCAAAUCUUGCCUCGAGCGCUGGAAAAACUACCUCAAACCGGGCAUCAAAAAGGGUUCUUUAUCCCCAGAGGAGCAAUCUCUAGUCAUUUCGUUGCAGGCCAAAUACGGCAACAAGUGGAAGAAGAUCGCGAGUGAAGUCCCCGGGAGAACGGCCAAGAGAUUGGGAAAGUGGUGGGAGGUUUUUAAGGAGAAGCAGUUGAAGCAGCUGCACAAGGAGAAGCAGAGAAGGGAAUAUUCCGAUCAGCAGCAGGAGGGGAAUGUUCCGGUAGUGGGUUUGGGUUCUGGUUCUUGUUCUUCGCCUGAGAAAGUCGCUCAGGGGAGAUAUGAUCAUAUCUUAGAGACUUUUGCUGAGAAGUACGUGCAGCCUAAGCUUUUCGCGAUGCAAGCAUUGAACUUGAAUUUGAACCCGGUCCCUGCCAAUGCUAUUAUGCCUAAUCUACCACUUGGCGGUGCUGAUCCUGAACCGGUUCUUUCACUUGGGUCCGGUCCUACGUGGAUGAAUAAUCAUAAUCAUAAUCAUCAUACCAGUGGUUCAUCUUUGACGUCUUCAACUUCAUCUACUACUACAGCUUCUCCUAGUGUGAGUCUGUCGCUUUCUCCAUCUGAACCGGGGAUUGAACUGGGGGAUAUGAACCCUGUGGCCCGGUUCAUGCCGGGUCCGCAAGUGGGUACUUUGGUACAGUACUGUAAGGAGCUUGAAGAGGGGAGGCAAAGCUGGGUGCAGCAUAAAAAGGAGGCAACUUGGAGGCUGAGCAGGCUGGAGCAGCAGUUGGAGUCCGAGAAAGCAAGAAAGAGGAGGGAAAAGAUGGAUGAAACUGAAACAAAGAUAAGGGCUUUGAGAGAAGAGGAAUUGUCUCAUCUUGGGAGAAUUGAGAGUGAGUAUAAAGAGCAGCUGAGUGCUUUGCAGAGAGAUGCUGAGAGUAAAGAAGCUAAGUUAAUGGAAGCAUGGUGUAGCAGGCAUGUUAAACUGCUUAAGCUUGUUGAGCAAAUUGGAGUUCAUCAAAGCAGCACUUCUCAUGGAUUCUGUGUCGUCCCAAAGGAUAUGCACUAACCGGCCAUAGCUAAUUAAGGCCUGCAUUUGGAUUUUGCGACCGUUUUUGAUAAGGCAUAAUGUGAUAGAUAAGACUUUGAUUCCUUGAACCCAUGUAGCUAUUGUGUUGUUUUUUUUUUUUUCUUAUAUAUAUCCUUAAGAACUUCGAUCAAUAACGUUGGUAAAUUAAACUGUUCGAUAUUUUCUGGUUGAAUAAUUAAUCAUAGAAUUUUUCAUCUUUAUUCAAGAAGCUAACUAUGUGUAAACUCUUGUGGAUGUAGUUUUCAUUCUUUUUCUACAUCAUAAAAUACAUCAAACCAUUUGAUUUAGGCAUUUGCCAACCGGCUAAUUGUAAUAUGAAUAGUUUGCAACAUAAUUUUGACAUCAUUGGUGUCACUAAGUUAAUGAGCGGCCUGUUUGUUCCUGUCAAAAACCAAAGAAACGAAGCAAAGUGAGGAAGAUGAGGGGAAAAGGCGUACGCGCAUAAUGAAUGAAACUGAAAAGAGGAGGGGAGCUGGCGCUGGUGGGUUCUGUCGUGUAAUGUCAAAUCGUUUUUACAUUUUUGUUAGCGGAAUAAAAGGAGUUCACUUUUUCUUUUUGGAGGGGUAACAAUACCAGUACAAUACAUAUUCAUAUGUACAUUAAAUGUGCCUGUGUGUGGCAGUGGGUAUGGGGCGCCCUGAUUUCUUUGAAUCAUCAACAAUGGUCACGCAGUAAUCACAUAAAUAGAGAGAGUGGGAGCGCCCAUAUCAGAUUUGAGGAGACACUGGACACUGGUGAUGGCUGAUGCUGUGCUGUAUGUAAAAUUGUUGUAAAUGCCACAUCUUUUUGAAAACGACUCAUCAGAGAGAUGACUUUGGGAUAGGCUUUAGUGCUACUACUGUUGGGGGGAUGGACUGGCCUCACUGCUCACCUGCUCAGACAGCCUCAGCACUCAGCUCAGCAGCUCGCCAGUUACCCGCUGCUUUAACAAACGUUAAUUGCCCUGGCAACUCACAAACUCUUCUUUCUUUCUUAGUUUCUUUACCCUAAUACGUUUUGUCGUUUCCCAUUAUCGCAGCAGCUGGCCUCUAUAAUUGGGGUAAUAACAAUGCAAGUCCUAAAGUGUUUGUAUUUCCUCUACAGAGAGUUUGAUUUAUUCUUUUAUGUCAAAAUAGGUCCCUCAUUUUGUAAAUAGCCUUCAUCGAGAAAAUAAAAGUAAAUUGCAGACCUACAUAAUAAAUACAAAAAAUAGUAGGGACUUUAAGUGCCAUUCUUCUCUUUUUAGGGUGUUGCCCGUUGAAAUUGAACCAAAAUCUUAAUUACUAAUAAUUUGGCUCUACAUAAAUAGUUUUGGUCCUGAGGGUGUAGAUUCGAAAAAGCAAGUGAUAGUUGUAGUUCCUCUAUAUUUAAAGGGUUGCCUCUGCAAAUUUUGGUCACUUGCAUUGCAUAUAGCUUCGUACAAGGGUGGCUCAAAAUUUAAUGCCUUGGCUUAGUCGGCUUACCCUGUCUACUCGUAGUGACAAAGAUGCAAAACCUAAUAAACUGUGGGAGCUCCAAUCAUGCUUACGGGCCACAACAACAACUCAUCAGAUUUGAUAUCAUAAAACUGUGCAUGUUUCGCCUGAGAUCUUCUCUUGGAUCGGCAAUCACUUUUAAUUUGUCCUCUCUGUUCAAAUAGGAGGCAAUGAAUUAGGCAGUUAAGGGGGUGUUUGGCAUGGAUUGAUUCCCAAGCACCCUCAUCCAAAAUAAUAGCAAGAAUAAUUCCAAGCAGACCAUUUUAUUAUGUUCUAAAAAGAAGAAUGACAACAAGUAGAAGGAGAAUUCUUGAUCAUGUAUGCUUUUGAAUUUUGUUUUCGAAAAGAGGAAGAAAAUAUUUCUAAAUCUUGUUUUCUUGGUAUGGUAUAUACAUGUUUAUUCUUAGAUUUGUAUUAGAAAAAAAAUUAACGUGGUUGGUCUGUUCCAUUCCAGGAGAAGUAAUUGAUGAUUAAGGAAUUGAUUUUCUGCAUGACUACUUUGGGAGAGAUAUUUUCUUCUUUCUUAAUUCAAAUUCUGGCGUGCGAUGGUUUUUACUUUUAUUAUCUUUUUUAUAGGAGCGUGGUCAAAAGUCAAAUUAAUUUUUGUGCCUUUUAUUUUUUAUUUUUUUAGGAUUUGAAGACAGAGAGUCAAUAAAAUAAAAUAACUUUAAAAUCAUUUAGUUAAGUUUUUUUGGAGGCAUGCAUGAAAAAAAAACAAAUUGCUUUUAAAUACGCUAAACAUAGGCAAUCUAAUUUCCCAAACAGAAAGGAAAAAAAUCUAUAAAAACAGUAUCCAAUGGAAAUUGGCUCCUAAAUUUAUGACAACUUAUUUUUUAUUUCAAUUUAACUCAAGAAUUUUUUUUUUCCUACUAAGGAGCCUUUAAGUUACAUUCAACUGUACUUACGCCACAUGUAACAUCAGUAUCACUUUAGUAGAACCCGCAUAAUUUGUGUGCCGUAAGUUAACAUUUGCCUUCUAUUAAAUCUAAUGAUCGUGGAACUAGUUUGUAACUUUUAACAUGGCCCAUAAACGAACCAAAAAAAUUUAAAAAAAAAUUGCGAAAGCAAAUUAUAUAAAAGCACUUCAUGAUCUUCAGUCAAUUAACCUCUUGUAUAACUAGCUAGCCUUUUUGGAACUCUCUCAGCCUCUUCUUACUUUUACAGAAACCUCAUAUUAUCUACAACACAAAUUGUUUGGAUCCUCUAAAAUAUUGACUCCAAACAAUCUGACUACACCGAUAUUUGGAACUUGGCUCUGCAUCUCUUCAAAGCCUGACCCAUUUCCAUUUUGUUGCAGCUUGCAAUCAAUGAACAACUUUGAAUUAGACCCAACAUUAGAUCUCCAAAAGCUCACCGUAUCUCCAGCUUUCACGCCUUUCUCCUUAACAAAUCUGCUCCACCCCUUUGUCAACACAUAACUCUGGCUGCUACUCCAAUAACAGUACCUCAACCUCCAAACUUUCUGAGUACUAUCCUCAAAAUUCAGCAACAACCCCUUGGAAGCAAUUUCUGAGCUUAAUGCAAAGUGCUUCUCAGCUUGUUGCUUUGGUAUCACCAUUCUGUUUAACUUCCCCACAUCACUUGGUGUAAGCACUUUCUCAAAAAGGAAUUCAACAGGUGUUUCCUGAAAACAAUUUGACCCAAACAGGUCACUAAAACCUGAGCUAUUAUUAUAACAACUAAUGCCGACACAUGCAUAAUUUUGUUUGCUUUGCUCAAGCUCAUGCUUAUAAGUAUGCUUCCUUAGCAUAUCAACAAUCUCAGCCUUAGAAUGUGAGCUCAAGAAAAUCUUCUCCAUGUAAUCGUCUUCGUCAUCAGUCUCCAAUGAAGUUCUGAAAUUUGUGAUUGCAUUUUGGCCCCGGAACCUCAGUGCUGCAGUGUCAUAGACCCUAGCAGCUUCCUCUUCUUCAAUGAAUGUACCAAGCCACACACGUUGAUGCUUCUCAUAUAUUUGUGCACCCCAUCUGCCAUUAGGCUGUGGAACCACCCCCUUAUACUUUGAAGAAGGUAACUUUUUUGACUCGGCAUCGAUGCCAUUUUCACUGAGAUUAUGAUCAUGAUCAAGAUCAACUGAACUUGAAUUGCUUGCCAUUCAAAGAGAUAGAUAUAGCUUAGCUUACGAGUUCAUGUUACGAUGAAGUGAAUUUAUGAUUCAUCAUAUAUAGAGUGAAACCAUAAUUUGAGGGGACCCAAUUGAGCCAAUUGAUGGGAAGUCACAUGAGUGCAAACAGCGAUUGUUCUGAAUGUUCAUCCCCCCAUGAAAGUUAAGCUAGCUGCUGGACAUAUAUGAUUUUGAUCCUCUGGCCAUAGGCCCUUUUAAUUUCUUUUCCAUGCUGGUGUCAUCUCUAACUUUAUUCAAUCUUAUCUACUACUACAUUUAAAUUAUUUUUAAUAAAUUAAAGUGUCUGUUUCAUCAAUAUGAUAUACAUGCUUUGCUGUUAUAAAAUGAUGAGUGGGUGAGAAUGGGAAGGCGUGAUUGGUUGAAUUUUCCAAGAAAAUUUAAUAGUGACAUGCACAUAUAUUAUUUUUCUGUGCGCCGACAAAAGGGUGAUUGAGUUGUCUUAUUAUCUAGGUUCAGUUUCGAUCUUCAAAUUUGGUUUUGAAAGAUAAAAUCACUAUUACAUAAUCCAAGCCCCAAGGGCACAUUUUGUUAUGUCUGUUCAUGCACUUGGGGAGUAAAUAAAAACAUAAUAAACGUUGUGAUUCCACUUCUCUAGGCAGUAACAUAUGCAUAUCCGAUCAAAUAUCGCAACUGGUUAGUAGCCAAAAGAAUAGUUAUAGCAAAAGGCUUGUCGCAGUGGUCUUCAUUUGUAUGCCCGCUUUGUGUUUGCUGUGCUCGGGAAUUUUUUUGGUUUAGUUUACUUUUCGUGUGUGCCCCAUCGAAUCUAAUGGUUGUUAGCCAGUAAUUAUAUUGGAUAUGAUAUGAUCCCUUUUGGGCCAACCUUGAAGAUCGCACAACCUGAAGACGAAGAGGGGUGAAAAUAACUUUGGAGAAAAAUUUAAAAUACACGUACAAUUUAAGAAUAUCAGAUGAUAAUGGCAAAUGGGUUGGUGCUGGAUGAAACAUUUAUGUUGCAGAAAUGACUGCUUUCUCACAGACACCUGGCUUCGCAUAUAAUGGCGGCUGAAGCAUAUGCCUAUCAAACAAGCCCAAUGGAACCACAUGGCAAGGCCAUUAUACAUGGUCCUGCCAUCAUCAUCAACGCUUGGACCAGGCCUCGAAAGGCUAUCCAUUUUGCAUUUGCAAGGGUCAUUUCGUGAUGGGCUGAAAAUCCCAAAAUCAUCGUCGGGUUCUGUGAGGUUUCAUGGGUAAGGGCUCCUGAUAUACAGAUUUUGAGACACGUGUGUGAUUGUGUUUCUUCCAUAAGAAAAUGAAACCUUAAUCAAAUCAUAGAUACAUCUUAUGGUACAGUUAGUAACUUAAUUAUUAGAUGAUGAAUUUUAUCAUUUUUAAAAUUAUUUAACUACUAUUCAAUGAAUAAAUGUUAUAUCAGUUGAGACUCGAAUUAAAACUUAAAUGUUGAAAUACUUUAACAUUGCUCAAAACAUCGAUAUCAGCAUAUUAGAAGAAACAUCAUACUUUCUUUCCGGUGAAUUUAUAUAUGUAAAAUGAUUAACAGAAUAUCUUGGUGAUUACAUUUUAGGUGUUUCCAUAUGGAGGACAAUGUAAUUAACAAUGAAGUAAGAAUGCAUAUAACACAACGAAACAAAAACAACUAAGACUUGCUAGUAAAGCUUCGUGCGCUUGGCUUUUCUAUUUGACCUUGUUAUUAUUUGUCUUCAUUUUCCUUCCCAAGAUUAAUUUCAAAAUCUGAUAACUUUCGUUGACAAAAUCUUUAACAGUUGUCAUCAACAAUUCAUAAAACAAUUUAAUUACGUGAUUUGUAGUUGAUUCCACUUAAUUAAGCUACCGAGUUUAAUAGUUCAUCCAGAUGCUCAGUAUGUUACUAAUUGAGAAUUUUUAUAACGUGAUUAAAUAAAAACAAACCCUUAUCUUAAUUUAAUUUAAUUAGUUGAGAUUUGUAGAAUCCAAAAUGAAACCAAUUACGCAACAUUAUUCGUUGAACCGUACAAUUUAGGAACUUCCGGACAAUUAACACAUACGUAAUCUUUGAAUAAACCAAGACAAAGAUACGAUUAUUGAUUUUAAAUUCUUGAAAAUUGAACAAAAUUUUUAUUAAUUUAUUGUAUAAAAAAAAUGAAGUAAUGAAGCAUGGAAUCGACAAAAGAAAGAGGCUAAUGUAAAAAAUUAACAAAAAAUCAGAGUUGUCUUCGAUGUAAACGGCAGAGGCCAUGUCUCUCACGAGAUCAUCACGUGCCGACCAGUCUUCUUUGUACCUUGCAGCUUUGUAAUUUUAUAAUACGUGCAAAGUACGUAAUAGAUUAGACAGCAGAGCAAUUAGGUUAAGAGACAGGGACAUGCACGGCCCAUUGUGUUUGGUAAUGGACUCAUUUUUGUUUUAAUUUUAAGUCUCAUUGUCUCCUAAUUUAAAUAAUUCUUUUUCCUGUCUCAUUUUUUUUCGAUAAAUUGUUGUCACUUAUAUUUUCAUUUUGAUAAAUGGUUCAUGGAGCAGUGACACUGCAUAAAAUGUCCAAUUUUUUUUAUUUUUUUUUGGGUUAAGAAAAUAAUAAUAAGACAAGUCUAGAUGGGUCAAGGCCAAGCAAAUGCUCCACUUAGCUAAAAAGGCGCAUAUAGGAAAUCAGAAAAGCAUUUAUAUUAUGAAUAGAUGAAAUCAAUUUAGCUCAACUGAUGGUCAACUGCUUUAAUUUAAACCCAAGAGUUGACUGAAUAUAUAUUGCUGUCAAGGAAGUGAAUUAAGAUUCAUAAUUAAUUGAAGAAUGGACAAGACCAGGUGCAAGCCCCAGAGAGGUUUACGACGGGAUUAGUGGGGUGCGGGUGAAGCACAAGACAAAACAUGUGGGAUUAUGUGGUGUUUUAACCCUAGUUAGCUCAUUAAUCAACUCAUAUUUUGUUGGGCUUAUAGGCGCCACUCAGAUUCUCUGCCAAUUUCUCUGAGCUUUCAUUUUCGUCCAUACAAAAUUAAUGUAUUAAAAUAAAAUAUUGUCUCCCUUUUGUGUUUCCGAGGAUAUAUCUGCCCCUUAAUAUUUAAUUAAUUAAUCUAUCAUUAAAAGUCCAUCAUUAGCUGUAUAUUUAGCUUAUCAAGCGUGGACUGAUCAUUGAUUUUAUUAUCCAUUUGAAAGUGCAUGUAAAGGAAGCUACCAUUAAUGUCCCAUCAAAUUGGAAGAGGUUCAUAUACUUGAAUCCUACUGGCCACUGAUCCACCCUAAUUACAUAAUUGCGCGACAUGAAUACAUGAAAUUGAAGAAAAUUUAAACAUAAUUAGAUCUUCCCUUAUGAUUGAGAAACGAGGGAUUAGUCAUUUUAGAAGCUCAAUCUCUACUUUUAUAGCCAGUUAACUUGAGAGUCAGAGUUUAUUUUGUAGAUAUAAUUAUUUAAUUAGCUAAAAAGAAAAAAAAAACAACAACAUUCUUGGACUGAUAGAUUGGAUUUGAUCGGUGAAAAUCCGAUCCGUGAAUUGGUAGAUUGGAUUCGAGUGAAAAUUUGAUAAUCUGCAAUCGAUGGAUUGGAUAUGGAUCUACUCCUGUAAAUCCGUAAAAAUCUGCGAAUCUGUAAAAAAUAAAAGUAUUUAUUUAAUUAAAAAAUAAAACUUGUAAAUAUGGCAUUAAUACUUACUAGUAAAUAAAUAAGUUAAAAUAUAGUUACAUUAACACUAUAUUAUAUCUUAUCCGAUAAUAAUAUAAAAUUAAAAAUAUUUAAAUAAAUAAAUAUAGCUUUCUAAAUAAUUAAUUUUCAUGUACUGAUCUAAACGAAUAAGAUUUUUUUUUUUCGUUUUGGUGUGUUAUGUUUUGAAACUUUAAAUAUAUUUUUUAGUUUUAUUUAAACAAUUAAUUUAUUUAAAUCUUAUUUAAUUUUAAAUUUAAUCGGUAGUAAAAUUAUUUUUAUAUUAAUUUUUUAUUUAGUUGAUUCGUAGAUUAGACAGAAUUAAAAAAUUUCAAUCUGCAAACCAAUCCGCAAAAUAGUAGAUUAGGUCAAAUCUGCAUCCAAUCCGCAAAUGUAUGGAUUGAAUUUCACCAAUCCAUGGAUUGGUGAAAUUCAAAAUUUAUAAUCCGCAAUAUCGUGGAUCAAAUAUAGAUUGAAGUCCUAUCUGUAAAAUUCGAUUCGCGAAUACCCCUAGAAGCUUGCACAAUUUCAGAGACAACGACGACAUAUCAAGAGAUGUGUUGUAGAAAGAUACAUGUUUUCUUUUAAUUAUUAUGUGUCAAACAAAUUAUUCGAAUUCUCUUCUACCAUAGAAUACAAUUUUACUGGACCACCAAGCAAAAGAGCGUUGGAUUAUUAUUAUUAUUAUUAUUAUAAUAAUGUUUAAAUUCCCACAAACUUACACAGUAGUUGAGAAGAAAGAUGGAUGGUUGGUAAAUAAUAAAUUGGCAUCAUGCGGGAUGCAAUAUGCAAUCAAACAAGACAUGACAAGGAGACAUCAUAUUAAAGCUUAAUUUUUCAAGAACAUGAUAACAUAUAAAUAGUCUUAUGAAAAGAUGGCAACAAAAAAGUAUAUGCAUGCCCAAGCAAAUAUAUAAGAAAUUAAUUUUAAUUUUUUCGUCAUUUGAUGAUCAAUGGCCGACCAAAUAUCUUGGCUGGUGAAGCCCGCAUUAAUUUUUAGAAGAUGAUGAGGUCGCACAGUUCCUAAGGUGACAAAUUAAUUAAAUUUUCUUUAUGUGAACUUUGGACCACACUCUCUCAUUAUAUAAGAAGCUAAAGCUAGGUCUUUUCCUUUGCCUUUGCCUCAUAUCAAAACAUUACUACUACACUAAAAUACAAGCUUAUUGUCUCUUGCUCUCUCGAGUCUCUCCCCUCUCCCCCCUCUCUCUCACAUUUAGAAAGUUACAAUGGAGAUUGGAAAUGCUGCUGCUGCCAUGAAAAGCUCAAAGAAGAAGAUUUCAUGCACAAAGCUUGGAGGGUAUUUGAAGGAACAAAAAGGAAGACUAUACAUUAUCAGAAGAUGUGUGGUCAUGCUCCUUUGCUGGCACGACUGAAUGCAAAAUGAAAAUGGAGUUGCUAGCUAGCACUUGAUGAUGCAUUCUCCAUCAACGAUUCUGUGCAAUUGGCUGCAAAUUGGAAUUUGAUCUCUUUAUUUUCUUCUCUAACUGUACAUAGCAACGAUAAUUGUUAGGGAUUAAUUAUUAGUAAUUCGGAUAUAAUAAAUUAUUUUCUUUGGUGCAAGAGUACUUUGCCACAUUGGGCCUGUUAUGUACAUGGAAAUUAGUAGUUUCAAUUUCUAGAUUUCACUCAUUGAACAUUUUCUACUUUUUUUUUCCAAUUCAAGUUAAUUAUAUUCUCGCCAUAUUUGCACGUUUAGCUAAUUAGCUUUUAGUUGAUGUCUUCGCAACCAUGAUAUAAUUCAAAAAGAAAAAAGAAAUGCAAGGGAAAAUAAAAUCUAAUAUAUCUUUAAAGAGAGUUAAAAACUUCAUGGACUUAAAAAAUGCAAGGAAGGCUAGGGUUAAGUGAUGAGUCCUUAGGCCUUAGCUAGAUAGCAAGAGAACAAAGAAAAUGCAUUAGGGCUGAGUAUGAAAGAAAAAGAAGGCUGAGCCUACCUACAUAUAUAUACAACAUUAAUUUUGAGGAAGAAAGCAAGAUGUAAUAUAAAUUUGCUGAUGAUUUGUUCGUUGUGUCUUUUAUGUAUGAUCCAUUAUUUUGCUUUGUCUUGUCAACUCAUAGCUAUUAAAAUGCACGUUGAAAAGUAUUGAGCUUCACAUGCGUGUUGUAAGCAACGACAUGACACUUUUAAACUUAUUUGAAUGGUUUCCAAAAAUGGCUUUAACCUCAUUUGAGACAAGGCAAAGGGCUAAUUCAUUCUCGGUAAAAGUUUUCAACUGUACAUUCGCACCGUAUAAAAUGGAUGGAAAAAUUACAGUACGUUUCCCUCUAAUUUUGGUUAAUAAAUACUUGCAUCUGAACUCAAUAAAGUUGUUUAAUAAAAGUGUUAUACUUUCUCCUUCAUGGUAUACUUCUAUUACUAUAAUCCCUUGAAUUUUAGAAACAAGUUCAUAAUGUUCUUGAUCAAUUUAAGUAACUUUCUUGAUCUUAAAACAAUUUAAGUGUUUUAGAUGUAAUAUACUCAUUUAAGUUGAUUUCUGUUAAAAAAAAAAGGUAAUUUUAAAUAUUCAGUUCUAUAUUUUAUUCAAAGUUUAUGGGCAUAAAUAAAAAAAAAUUAUCAUAAGAAAAUAUUAAAUUUGGGUGAAUUAAAAAUGAUUUUUCUUUUUUUGGGGGGGCUGCUGUACGGCCAAGGCGGAUGUACGGUACAGCAGAAGAUCUUAUCGAAAACUUACAGCAGCUUGCCAAACAAAGGCUAAGAGAAAAAAUAGAACAGGUAUUACUGGCAUAACAUCUACAAUUGGAUUCAAAAAAGCGUAGGCCUCGGGUAAUUUAGCGAAUAAAAAACUACUCGAAUAAAGGGCAGAAUUAAGACAGAUAUACAUUAAACUAAAGAUAUUAAGCAUAACAAACA